rnacentral:lncRNA from 1 species
AAGCACCUCGAACCCAGUUGGCCCCAGUGCCAGGAACCGGGCACUGUCGUCAUGGAAACCAGGCACCUCGAACCCAGCCGGCCCCAGUGUUAGGAACCGGGUACUGUCGUCAUCAGCACCAGGGUCAACCUCUGGACCCUGGCUUCCUCAUCAUUAACAGGAAAGGUUAGAAGCCCUGUUAGGUCUCUUCCAACUUUGUAACUCUGAAAAAGCAAGGUGGAGUUUCUUUGGCACACUCUUUGAGGAAAUAGGAUUUGCCAAACCAAUGCAAAUGGAGAAAUAUAUUUCACCUGAGUGGGGAAGAAAAACCUUGUAAAGGCUUCCAAGAACCUCCAGAAACCUACUGGAUGUACUUACCACUAAUCUCUUUCAAAGAAAUUCCCUGACAAUACUCUAUUAAUCUCUCUUGAGCUCCUUCAUACCCCUGAAAGUAGCAGGACAGCCUUACUUUCCAAACCUUCACCUUUGCAAGAGCCUAGUCUGUGAGUCCAGGCUCACCUGAAGUCUGAGAUUUUGGGAGCUUUGGAGAAUCCUGGAUAAAAUCCCUUACUGAACUUAGAUAGCAGGAAUCUCUGAUCUUUGGAGAAGUCUCCUCGGUUUUCAGAGACUGAGCAUCUGUUCCUAGCUCCCUCCAGGCUCUGAUGCCAUUGGUGAGUGCCGGAAGCUGUUCCAGGCCUCAACACAGAAAGAACCCUUAGACCUUCAGAGCUGGAGGUGUGCAGAGUGGUCUCUGCCUGGGCUCAACCUCUGUGAUUUCUGGCAAGUUACUGAAAUUCUCUGUGCCUCAGGUUUCUUUUAUGAAAAUUAUAAUAGUUUUUAUCUCCUAGGGUUAUGGUGAAUACCUAGGGCAAGACCUGGCACUUAGAAAGCUCUCAUCAAAUGUCCUCUAACUCUUGGAGACAAUGACCAAGACUUAGAGGAAAUGAUUUGGGGGAACUUCACCACUUUCUUGGUUCUCUCGGAGGCCGGUGGAGACGCUGCUCCAUUCUGCCUGGAUCAUUUCCCAGGGCAGUAUGAGACAGGGCUUCAUCAGAAAGGCCAGGCCUGUGGAUGGAGGCAGGGAGCUGAUGGAAAUGACCUCUGUGCAGCUAAGGAUGCUAUGCUUUGUUUCUUGAGCUGAAUUGCAAUUGUGCCCAGCCUUCCUGGGACAAGGGUGGGAACUCAGGAGUUACUACAACCACUGCCGCCCUACCCUGGGAAGGCCACUUGUGGUCUUGGACAAGUUCCCUCCCACGUGGCUGGAUGAGCCCUCAGGCGACAGCUGCGUUCUGUCGAGGAAGCCACGCGUAGGUAGGUGUUUCCCCUACUUAAUCUGGGAUUAGACUCAUCCUGGACUAAUGCCCAUGCUCCUGCCUCCAGGUCCAUAGAAGGAGAAGGCAACCCAUCUGGAUGUCUGGAGGAGGUUUGGAUCUCCUCUCCUUGGUCAGAACUGCUCAUAAGAAUCUCCAUUGCAGGAUCGAUAUUUGCUGCCAUUUCUUUUCCUCUGCACACACAUUCUAGAGUAAGCAGCAAACAGAGGUGACCAGAGAUGCUAGGAUGGGAACAUGAGGGAUCUGGAAAGUCCCUGACUGAGCAAUCAGAAGCUGGGUUUCACAUGCUCACCAUGGCUAGUCUAGCGAGUUUGCAGAAUUCUGAAAUGGGAUGAGACCCUGAGGUUUGCCUUUCAUUAGCCUGGCUGUCCAUUUAUGGGGCAGUCUCUGCAGGAAGGAAGGAAACAGGAGAGGCUCCUACCUGCCCCAUCAGCUCACUUUUUAAAACAUGCUCACCCGGCCUCACCAAGUGAGGUGGGCGGAGAGCCCGAGGUUGGUUCACUCUGUGCUUCACAUGUCCUUCACAUGUCCUUCACAUGUCACCUCUCUACUCCGUGAACUUGCAAGGCUCACCUGGGUCUCUCACUUUCCAUUCCCUGUCUCUCAGAUCUACUAGAACAAGGCUAUAGCCACAAAGCACGUAUAUAGUCGGUCCCUUUUGCUGACACGUGACAUGCAAUUCAGGGAUGUCCCCCUUCCCCCUAGAAGUGACGAAUGCCUGCAGCUGUUGUAAAUGUUAAAGUAAAAUUAAUGUUGGUUGUACACCCAUGUUCAUAGCAGCAUGACUCACAAUAGCCAAAUGUAGAAGCAAUCUGUAUUAGUCCGUUCUCAAGCUGCUAAUAAAGACAUACCUGAGAC